CCGAGUUUACAACUCCCAAACCCCUGUGAACAUACCAAUUGUUGCAUCGGCGGAUCAGCCCGUCUCCCCGGUAAAACGGGACGGCCCGCCAGAGGGACCCCUAAACUCUGUUUUAUAUGUAACAUUCUGAGUAAAACCAUAAAUAAAUCAA
rnacentral:misc_RNA from 1 species